rnacentral:tRNA from 1 species
GUCAGGAUGGCCGAGCGGUCUAAGGCGCCAGACUCAAGCGUGCGCUUGCAUUGAGUUCAAUGUAAACUCUGAGCCUUCUGGUCCACGAAUGUGGGCGUGGGUUCGAAUCCCACUUCUGACA